UCCCRNNNGGUNKUUCAGUAGGCAGUACCUCACGAGAGGGUCAUUACAGAGUUCAUGCCUUCACGGGUAGAUCUCCCACCCUUSMMUAUUUUAUACCUUUGUUGCUUUGGCGGGCCGCUUCGGCUACCGGCUUUGGCUGGUGAGUGCCCGCCAGAGGACCCCAAAUUCUGAAUUAUAGUGUCGUCUGAGUACUAUAAAAUAGUUAAAACUUUCAACAACGGAUCUCUUGGUUCUGGCAUCGAUGAAGAACGCAGCGAAAUGCGAUAAGUAAUGUGAAUUGCAGAAUUCAGUGAAUCAUCGAAUCUUUGAACGCACAUUGCGCCCCUUGGUAUUCCGAGGGGCAUGCCUGUUCGAGCGUCAUUAUAACCCCUCAAGCUCAGCUUGGUGUUGGGGCCUGCCGCACGGGCAGCCCUUAAAAUCAGUGGCGGUGCCAUCUGGCUCUAAGCGUAGUAAUUCUUCUCGCUAUAGAGUCACGGUGGAUGCUUGCCAUUAACCCCCAAUUUUCAAUGGUUGACCUCGGAUCAGGUAGGGAUACCCGCUGAACUUAAGCAUAUCAAUAAGCGGAGGAACGUGGAUUUGGCUCUGCCUCUUUUGAGACCUGCUUCUAAUCGUCUCGUUGAGACGGCCGUCAGAUUCACCCUUUCUUUCUUCACGUAAAGAAGAGGUGGACCUUUUGACCCACGAACCCUUUGACCUCAAAUCGGUGAUACUACCCGCUGAACUUAGCAUAUYUUUWCUGGAGGAAA
rnacentral:rRNA from 1 species